rnacentral:rRNA from 1 species
AACGAACGCUGGCGGCAGGCCUAACACAUGCAAGUCGAACGAAGUCUUCGGACUUAGUGGCGCACGGGUGAGUAACACGUGGGAAUAUACCUUACGCUGGGGGAUAACAUCGGGAAACUGAUGCUAAUACCGCAUACGCCCUUCGGGGGAAAGAUUUAUCGGCGAAAGAUUAGCCCGCGUCCGAUUAGCUAGUUGGUGAGGUAAUGGCUCACCAAGGCUCCGAUCGGUAGCUGGUCUGAGAGGAUGACCAGCCACACUGGGACUGAGACACGGCCCAGACUCCUACGGGAGGCAGCAGUGGGGAAUAUUGGACAAUGGGCGCAAGCCUGAUCCAGCCAUGCCGCGUGAGUGAUGAAGGCCUUAGGGUUGUAAAGCUCUUUCACCCACGACGAUGAUGUCGGUAGUGGGAGAAGAAGCCCCGGCUAACUUCGUG